UGGCUCGAGAAGGGACUGGGGCUUACACUGACUAUACAGAAAGAGGAGGCAGAGUAAAUCCACCCAUAUACACCCCAGUCCAAGUGCUUUGCCUGGUCUGGAUUGUGAAUGGGGGGACAUGG
rnacentral:snoRNA from 1 species